UACGUAGGGUGCGAGCGUUGUCCGGAAUUACUGGGCGUAAAGAGCUCGUAGGUGGUUUGUCGCGUUGUUCGUGAAAUCUCACGGCUUAACUGUGAGCGUGCGAGCGAUACGGGCAGACUGGAGUACUGCAGGGGAGACUGGAAUUCCUGGUGUAGCGGUGAAAUGCGCAGAUAUCAGGAGGAACACCGGUGGCGAAGGCGGGUCUCUGGGCAACAACUGACGCUGAGGAGCGAAAGCGUGGGGAGCGAACAGG
rnacentral:rRNA from 1 species